rnacentral:rRNA from 1 species
UACAAUGGAGAGUUUGAUCCUGGCUCAGGAUGAACGCUAGCGGCAGGCCUAAUACAUGCAAGUCGAACGGACUCAGGGGCUUCGGUCCCUGGGUUAGUGGCGCACGGGUGCGUAACGCGUAUGCAACCUACCUUCUAUUGGGGGAUAGCCCACCGAAAGGUGGAUUAAUACCGCAUAACACCAUGACAUGGCAUCAUGUUACGGUUAAAGUUUCGGCGA